GAUGAGCUCAGUUUGAAACGAGGUAUUACAAGUGAUUUCAGCGUUAGGAACUCUUUAUAUCACCACAGACACUUUCAGAUCCUCAGCCCCCCUCCUCCUUCCCUCUUUGUGUUGGGUCUUCUCCACCCAGGGGCUAUUUAACAAAGGCAGUCUGUUAACUAACAUUUUUGUUUAACUCAGCAACUUCUUUCCAAGACACACUUAAACCUGAUACCAAUGUCUGUCAUUUUGUUUGAGUGAAGAGGUGUGUGUGUGUUGGGGGGGAGGUGGUAUAUACGUAACG
rnacentral:lncRNA from 1 species